rnacentral:lncRNA from 1 species
UGGAGAAGUAAGCUUGACUUAUUUUUUAGCCAUGGAUGUGCUUUUAUAAUGUUAGAAAAGAAGGUUACCGUUGAAAUGACCGUUGGAGGGUAAAUAGGAAACGAUUUUGAUAUUUGAAAGGCAAAUAAAAAAAGUAUUUGCUACAUGAAGGGUAUAUAAGAAAAGUUAGUUACGGUACAAGCGUAUAUUGGAAUGGGCAAAAUGGUAAUUUUUCAGAGAUAACGGCAGCUAACUGACGGAACUUAACUCCAGGGGUAUAUUAGAAAGACAUGGAGCAUAAGAAGGGUAUUUUCAAUAUUAGCCUUCUAAGGGGGGUAAAUAAGAAAAUCGAAAACUUUUCAUGGGUAUAUAGGCAAUUGCCCCUAAAAUUUAUACUAUUAUUAAUUAAAAUAAUAAGGAUAUCGUUACAUAUAUUAUGAAUAAAUUAUAUAAAAUAAAUUAUUAUUAUAUAUAGUAAAAUAAAUAUACUAUUUGAAAUUAAAUUGUUACAUAAAAUAUUAUAUUAUAAAUUACUAUAGAAAUAAUUUUAUAAAUAAUUUUAUAUAAAAUACAGUUAUAUAAAUUAAUUAUUUUAUUUUUAAAAAUAUAUUUAGACAUUAUUUUAUACUUUUUAUCCAAACGCUACUAAGGAUAUCCUCUAGAAUAUCCCCGAAUGCAUCGAAAUAUAAAUUUACAAUUGUUCUAUCAUAUACCGGAAUAUCCUCUAUUCUCGGGAACAACAAAAGUUGUUCUUCAAAAUUUAGUUCUCCAACCAAACGCAGCUUAAAAGUAUCCAGUAAAAGGUGGGGAAUAUUAUUGAAAUGGAUUUGAAUUUGAUCUCUACUUUGUCUAAAAUAUUUUUGUCCACCUGCAUGUAUUAUAAAUUGAGAGUAGAUCAAACAUGUUUAUUUUGUAUGCUAUGAAAUCUAAAAGGUCAAGAGUGCAUAACAUCAUUUGACCUAGGAAAAUUGGGUUAUUAACCCUUUUG